GACGAACGCUGGCGGCGUGCCUAAUACAUGCAAGUAGAACGCAGUUGCGAACGGGUGAGUAACGCGUAGGUAACUGCCUCAUAGCGGGGGAUAACUAUUGGAACCGAUAGCUAAUACCGCAUACUGUGAGCUGGACCUGCGUUGUAUUAGCUAGUUGGUGAGGUAAAGGCUCACCAAGGCGACGAUACAUAGCCUACCUGAGAGGGGAAGCGGCCACACUGGGACUGAGACACGGCCCAGACUUCUACGGCAGCGAGCAGUAGGGAUUCUUGGGAAAUGGACGGAAGUUUGACCGAGAAAAGUCGGGUGAGUGUAGAAGGGUUUCGGAUCGUAAAGCUCUGUUGUUAGAUAAGCGGUAACGAUCGAGAAAGGGACGGCUAACUACGUGCCAGCAGCCGCGGUAAUAC
rnacentral:rRNA from 1 species